CCCAUGAUCAGCAGGGAUGCUGGGGAAGAUAUAAGUAAUAAGAGAAAGUGAAGGAAGACUAUGAGUAUCACGGGUGACCAGGAUUUUGUCUCAGGGUCAGCUAAUAUUGAGCAGAGCCAUGUAGCUAGGAUAUGGAGGCACCACUUCCUGAGACUAUUCAGAGAGAAGCACUGGGAAGAGAGAGUAGACAUGCCCAGAAAAUAUCUGGAUAUGUAGGACUCAGGAAAGUGGUUUGGGCUGGAAAGAGAAAUUUGGGAGACAAAGAUGGUAAAUAACAUCACCCUGAGAAAGCCUCUGGAGGACAUAUUAAAAUAGAUUGCUUCAUCUUCAACAAUCGUCUUGAAGAUAAAUCCUGUUCAAGCAGACCCUGGAUUCAAGUUUGUGGUGUUUAAUUCUUUUACAGAUUGAUGAAUUUGAUCUGCUGAUAUUUUGUUGAGGAUUCUUGUGUGUGUGUUAAUCAGGGCUAUUGGUCACCACCACAGCAUGGCUGAUGAGCAGUGUGGGUACAAACCCGAUAUCUGAACCUGAGAACCUGGGCUGCUGAAGUUGAGUACAGCAAAGUCAACCACUACUCCCAAGGGUCGGCCCUAAAAGCUAUAUAUUUUAAAUAGCAUAUGACAACUCUGGAAAUUAUAAUGCUCCCC
rnacentral:lncRNA from 1 species